rnacentral:tRNA from 1 species
UGGCUCAGUCAGUAGAGCGUCCGCCUCACAAUCGGGAGGUUGUGGGUUCGAACCCCGGC